GAUGAAGAACGUAGCGAAAUGCGAUAAGUAAUGUGAAUUGCAGAAUUCAGUGAAUCAUCGAAUCUUUGAACGCACAUUGCGCCCCCUGGUAUUCCGGGGGGCAUGCCUGUCCGAGCGUCAUUACAACCCUCAAGCUCAGCUUGGUGUUGGGCCCCGCCGCCCCGGCGGGCCCUAAAGUCAGUGGCGGUGCCGUCCGGCUCCGAGCGUAGUAAUUCUUCUCGCUCUGGAGGUCCGGUCGUGUGCUCGCCAGCAACCCCCAAUUUUUUUCAGGUUGACCUCGGAUAGGUAGGGAUACCCGCUGAACUUAAGCAUAUCAAUAAGCGGAGGA
rnacentral:misc_RNA from 1 species